rnacentral:lncRNA from 1 species
UGGGAGGGAGAGCUAAACCUUCAGAGAGGCAGACAUGCCUGGGAAACCAGAAGAGACUGCACUCUGCCCACAUUACUGAUUCCAGAGGAAAACACCAAACGCCAUCUGGAACCCUGGUGCACGGAAGCUCCCAGAAAGGGCGGCGCAGAUCUUCCUGGUUGCUGCCCCCACGGAGAGCUCAUAAGCAACACCCCACGAGCAAACUUGAGCCUCGGGACCACAGGUAAGACAAACCUUCCUACUCCAAGCGACCUGCCUAGUGAACUCAGGACACAGGCCCACAGGAACAGCUGAAGACCUGUAGAUAGGAAAAACUACAGUCCCGAAAGCAGAACACUCUGUUCCCAUCACUGGCUG